rnacentral:rRNA from 1 species
UACGUAGGGGGCUAGCGUUGUCCGGAAUCAUUGGGCGUAAAGAGCGUGUAGGCGGUCCGGUAAGUCCGCUGUGAAAGUCGGGGGCUCAACCCUCGAAUGCCGGUGGAUACUGUCGGGCUAGAGUACGGAAGAGGCGAGUGGAAUUCCUGGUGUAGCGGUGAAAUGCGCAGAUAUCAGGAGGAAUACCUAUUGCGAAGGCAGCUCGCUGGGACGUUACUGACGCUGAGACGCGAAAGCGUGGGGAGCAAACAGG